CCAGACUCCUACGGGAGGCAGCAGUGGGGAAUAUUGCACAAUGGGGGAAACCCUGAUGCAGCGACGCCGCGUGAGUGAAGAAGUAUUUCGGUAUGUAAAGCUCUAUCAGCAGGGAAGAAAAUGACGGUACCUGAUUAAGAAGCCCCGGCUAACUACGUGCCAGCAGCCGCGGUAAUACGUAGGGGCAAGCGUUAUCCGGAUUUACUGGGUGUAAAGGGAGCGUAGAUGGCAGCGCAAGUCUGAAGUGAAAUGCCGGGGCUUAACCCCGGAACUGCUUUGGAAACUGUGCAGCUAGAGUGCAGGAGAGGUAAGUGGAAUUCCUAGUGUAGCGGUGAAAUGCGUAGAUAUUAGGAGGAACACCAGUGGCGAAGGCGGCUUACUGGACCGUAACUGACGUUGAGGCUCGAAAGCGUGGGGAGCAAACAGGAUUAGAUACCCCUGUACC
rnacentral:rRNA from 1 species